rnacentral:rRNA from 1 species
UACAGAGGUCCCAAGCGUUGUUCGGAUUCACUGGGCGUAAAGGGUGCGUAGGCGGUCGGGUAAGUCUGAUGUGAAAUCUCACAGCUUAACUGCGAAACUGCAUUGGAUACUAUUCGGCUUGAGAGUUGGAGGGGGGACUGGAAUUCUUGGUGUAGCAGUGAAAUGCGUAGAUAUCAAGAGGAACACCAGUGGCGAAGGCGAGUCCCUGGACAACUUCUGACGCUGAGGCACGAAAGCGUGGGGAUCAAACAGG